rnacentral:rRNA from 1 species
CAGUCGCCACAGUAAAACGUAGGGUGCAAGCGUUAAUCGGAAUUACUGGGCGUAAAGCGUGCGCAGGCGGUUAUAUAAGACAGAUGUGAAAUCCCCGGGCUCAACCUGGGAACUGCAUUUGUGACUGUAUAGCUAGAGUACGGCAGAGGGGGAUGGAAUUCCGCGUGUAGCAGUGAAAUGCGUAGAUAUGCGGAGGAACACCGAUGGCGAAGGCAAUCCCCUGGGCCUGUACUGACGCUCAUGCACGAAAGCGUGGGGAGCAAACAGGAUUAGAGACCCGUGUAGUCCCUGUCUCUUAUAC